rnacentral:lncRNA from 10 species
UCCACGGACCAGAAGCGGUGGAACUGCAGGUUUUUCAGGUGGAAGUGUCUUGGAACGAAAUACAUACAGGACGGCAAGGCUCCCACAGAUGGAAGUAAAGUGCUUUGAGAAAAAGGCCCUUGCUUGGAAUUUGGACAGGGGGCUCUCUGGGUGGUGGCAACCUUCCUCCAAGCCUCCCUGGACUGUGAGCUCCCGCAUGAUUUUGGCGCCCCGUUCCCGUGCUU